UUGGCUCUUCAGUCGAGCAGACAAAGGUCUAACAAGAGCCAGCGGCUGGAGGCUGAAGCUAGACGUGGUCAGGCUGGAAAUAAGGCUGAAAUUCU